UCCUGUCUCGCGAGCCUUCCACAUACAGAGAGCUUAGAAUCUCACCCUGAGUCCCCGGCCGAACUGGCAAAGGGGGGCCUGUGCGGUCUCCCGGUGAGGAGCCCCACGCUCCGUCACCGUCUAUCGUUGGGAAAAGAUGGACAUAAACUUUGUUGGUGCAUGGUGCCUAUGAGUAUGAACACACAUUUUUUACACAAAUAAAUAAAUAUACUACAUAAGCAUGUGAUUAGUAUUAACGGGUUUUUCUUUAUAGGAUGCAAUACAUGGAUGCUUAGAAGACCAUGGUUCCCAUCGGUUAUCUAGAUCCAACAAGGAUCUGUCAAUCCCAGCAUACCGUAACGCUAUCAGAAAACACUGAACAGCUCAAGAACAUGACGCCUGAAGAAAUAGCGGAAUACAAGAAGGGCUUGCAUACGAUCAAGUUGCUUACUAUGGUACAAUACAUUAGACGAGCUUUCCUGAAAUUUCAACGGAAAAGAGUCCUAAUGGCCGUAUACAACUUUAAGUAAAUCCCAUAGAUUUCUCUAUACACAUCUGUGUUAUUUCAUCCGUGACUAACUGCACCGUCGUUACCAUGUAGCAAUCAUGAAAUUUGUUUCUUGAUCUACCCGAAGUACAGGACUGUUACAGUCCUGGACCCCCUUGAUUAUAAUCACAUGACGUAUACACAAUUCCUAAUAAUCUUACAAUUGCAAGUGAUUCUAAUCCAUGCAUGUGUACUUUUCAUGUAUUAUAAUUAAAUCUCCUCCUUAAUACGAAUCGCUAAUAUCCUUACAAUGCGUACAACUACUACAAGAUAAAGAGUGGAGAACAACUAUAAAUAAGGAAGAAGCUACUAGUGCAUACAUACUGGCUGUAUUAGAAGCAACCUAAAGGCAGUACCCUCUAUGGUUAUUACACAUGCAAAUUUCUCAGUGUUAAUGUGAGGUACAGGACCAACGCAGAGGAUUUGCCUAGAAUCAAACAUCGAACAAGCUUUGACGAUAAAGGCAUUAAAAAUAUGCAGCAGGACCUCUGCCACUUCAUCCAUUGCGAGUGCUGUCAUAAGGAUGUAAGGAUGGACGGUUCUUCAACACAGAAGACAGCCUAGCGACAAGUGAUAAAUACAAGUCUCUUCUGGAGUGGAACAAUGCAAUGCCAUGAUGUAUUAAUUAGAUAGUGCAUUCAAAAUGACAACUGUAAAAAUUAUUGUAAUAUAUUGACAACACUUUUCACUACUGCAAUAUAUGUAU